CCGUGCCAGCAGCCGCGGUAAGACGGAGGGGGCAAGCGUUGUCCGGACUCACUGGGCGUAAAGCGUGCGUAGGCGGUACGGAGCGUCGCUACUGAAAGCAUCCGGCUCAACCGGGUGAGGUGUAGCGAUACGUCCGAACUGGAGGCAAGGAGAGGUGUGCAGAAUUCCGGGUGUAGUGGUGAAAUGCGUAGAUAUCCGGAGGAAUGUCGGUGGCGAAGGCGGCACACUGGUCUUGACCUGACGCUGAGGCACGAAGGCGUGGGGAGCAAACCGGAUUAGAUACCCGGGUAGUCCACGCAGUAAACGAUGUCGGCUCGGUGUAUCGUGGUGGCAACACCAUGGUGUGCCCAAGCUCACGCGGUAAGCCGACCGCCUGGGGACUACGAGCGCAAGCUUAAAACUCAAAGGAAUUGACGGGGGCCCGCACAAGCAGCGGAGCGUGUGGUUUAAUUCGACGCAACGCGAAGAACCUUACCCAGGUUUGACAUGCAGCUGCAAGCGCACGGAAACGUGUGACCUUCGAGGGUGCUGCACAGGUGCUGCAUGGCUGUCGUCAGCUCGUGUCGUGAGAUGUUGGGUUAAGUCCCGCAACGAGCGCAACCCUCGCCGUCAGUUACAAGUGUCUGGCGGGACAGCCCUCGCUAUGGGGGAGGAAGGCGGGGAUGACGUCAAGUCAGCAUGGCCCUUACGCCUGGGGCGACACACACGCUACAAUGCCGACCACAAUGCGCUGCAACCACGCAAGUGCAAGCUAAUCGCCAAAGGUCGGCUCAGUGCAGAUCGGGGGCUGCAACUCGCCCCCGGAAGGCGGAGUUGCU
rnacentral:rRNA from 1 species